AUUUGGUUCUAUACCAACAGCAUCUUUGGAAAAGCUGGGAUCCCUCCGGCAAAGAUCCCGUACGUCACCUUGAGUACAGGGGGCAUUGAGACUUUGGCUGCCAUCUUCUCUGUGGCAUUCCGUUCAUCUUGACUGGUGAGUUCUUCCAGCAAUCUCAGCGGCCGGCUGCCUUCAUCAUCGCAGGCACCGUCAACUGGCUCUCCAACUUUGCUGUUGGGCUCCUCUUCCCAUUCAUUCAGAAAAGUCUGGACACCUACUGUUUCCUAGUCUUUGCUACAAUUUGUAUCACAGGUGCUAUCUACCUAUAUUUUGUGCUGCCUGAGACCAAAAACAGAACCUAUGCAGAAAUCAGCCAGGCAUUUUCCAAAAGGAACAAAGCAUACCCACCAGAAGAGAAAAUUGACUCAGCUGUCACUGAUG
rnacentral:sRNA from 1 species